AUGAUGCAUGCCAUGCACGUUCAGAGGAAACAACAGUUCAGAACUUGGUCCUCACUAAAUUCUAAUACUAUGUCAAAGCAUCAUCAUUUUGAGGUUUUAUGCACAUGCCCAAGCAAUAAGCUUCAGUAUCCACUUCCAAUUCUUGGUGCAUGGUCAUGGCCAUCAGAGGAGACGGGCGCGAGUGGAGCUUUCAUCUGGAUCGAGAUCUGGGAGGAGUGGAGGAUGGAGGCAUGGGAAGAAGGGAACUCACGUCCUUUUCCUGGAAGUGAUACGGGAGGCGGGAGGUGGUGUGUGGGUUGCUACGUGAGACAUCUACCCCACCUCCACUUAAAAUUAGGGGGGGAGAGAUUAGAUGCUUUAUGA
rnacentral:rRNA from 1 species